rnacentral:lncRNA from 1 species
AUAUGUCAUCUUUUGUAUUUGAUGAAUUGAGAUGUAAAAGAAAAGAAUGUAAAUUUCUAUUUUGAGGAAAAUGUGAUGUAAAAAGAAAUGAUGAAAAGCAUGUAUAUGUAAAGAAUCAUGAAUAUGAAGGUUAAAUGCAAUGUAUGUGAUCAAAAGUUGAAUCAUAGUACUUGUGUAGUUGUUUAGCUUCCAUUCUUUCACUAAUGGCUAUUGCUUACCCUCGUGUAAGCCGUAUUUGUAUGUUUUCGCUUGUGCAUUCUCUUUGCUUAAAUUGUUCAUGUGUUGAGCCUUGGGCGGACAGGAAAAACUCUGUCCGUUCGGCGUCUGUU